GCCAGACUCCUACGGGAGGCAGCAGUGGGGAAUAUUGGGCAAUGGGCGCAAGCCUGACCCAGCAACGCCGCGUGAAGGAAGAAGGCUUUCGGGUUGUAAACUUCUUUUCUCAGGGACGAAGCAAGUGACGGUACCUGAGGAAUAAGUCACGGCUAACUACGUGCCAGCAGCCGCGGUAAUACGUAGGUGGCAAGCGUUAUCCGGAUUUACUGGGUGUAAAGGGCGCGUAGGUGGGCGCUUAAGUCAGGUGUGAAAACUCCGGGCUCAACCUGGAGACUGCACUUGAAACUGGGUGCCUUGAGGGCAGGAGAGGAAAGUGGAAUUCCUAGUGUAGCGGUGAAAUGCGUAGAUAUUAGGAGGAACACCAGUGGCGAAGGCGACUUUCUGGACUGUACCUGACGCUGAGGCGCGAAAGCGUGGGUAGCGAACGGGAUUAGAUACCCCAGUA
rnacentral:rRNA from 1 species